rnacentral:lncRNA from 1 species
CAACAACCGGCGUUAAUUGGCAAGGAGGUGUUCACCUGGGUCAAGAGCAACAACCGGCGGCUGCUCCACAUCGGCGACGUUGAUAGAACAAGCAAGUAUGGAAAUGACACUCCGAUUUGCAUCUGCAUACUCUCCUUCAACUUCACAUCCUACAUUUGCACAUCGUGCUCCAUGUGGCUGGCCGCAGGACAAGGUGGAGUCCGCCGGUGA